rnacentral:rRNA from 1 species
UACGUAGGGCGCAAGCGUUAUCCGGAAUUAUUGGGCGUAAAGAGCUCGUAGGCGGUUUGUCGCGUCUGCCGUGAAAGUCCGGGGCUUAACCCCGGGCCUGCAGUGGGUACGGGCAGACUAGAGUGCGGUAGGGGAGACUGGAAUUCCUGGUGUAGCGGUGAAAUGCGUAGAUAUCAGGAGGAACACCGGUGGUGUAGACGGCUCACUGGACCGUAACUGACGCUGAGACACGAAAGCGUGGGUAGCAAACAGG